AUUGAACGCUGGCGGCAUGCCUUACACAUGCAAGUCGAACGGCAGCACGGGAGCAAUCCUGGUGGCGAGUGGCGAACGGGUGAGUAAUAUAUCGGAACGUGCCCGGUCGUGGGGAUAACGUAGCGAAAGCUACGCUAAUACCGCAUACGAUCUACGGAUGAAAGCGGGGGGAUCGCAAGACCUCGCGCGAUUGGAGCGGCCGAUAUCAGAUUAGGUAGUUGGUGAGGUAAAGGCUCACCAAGCCGACGAUCUGUAGCUGGUCUGAGAGGACGACCAGCCACACUGGGACUGAGACACGGCCCAGACUCCUACGGGAGGCAGCAGUGGGGAAUUUUGGACAAUGGGCGCAAGCCUGAUCCAGCAAUGCCGCGUGCAGGAUGAAGGCCUUCGGUUGGUUAAACGUAGUACGUUUGUUACGGUAACGGAAACGGUAG
rnacentral:rRNA from 1 species